rnacentral:rRNA from 1 species
GACGUAGGGCGCGAGCGUUGUCCGGAUUUAUUGGGCGUAAAGAGCUCGUAGGCGGCUUGUUGCGUCGGCUGUGAAAACCCGUGGCUUAACUGCGGGCUUGCAGCUGAUACGGGCGGGCUAGAGUUCGGUAGGGGAGACGUGAAUUCCUGGUGUAGCGGUGAAAUGCGCAGAUAUCAGGAGGAACACCAACGGCGAAAGCACUCUGCUGGGCCGACACUGACACUGAGAGACGAAAGCUAGGGGAGCGAAUGGG